rnacentral:rRNA from 1 species
UACGUAGGGUGCGAGCGUUAAUCGGAAUUACUGGGCGUAAAGCGUGCGCAGGCGGGCUUUUAAGCCAGACGUGAAAUCCCCGGGCUUAACCUGGGAAUGGCGUUUGGGACUGGGAGUCUGGAGUGCGGCAGAGGAGACUGGAAUUCCUGGUGUAGCAGUGAAAUGCGUAGAUAUCAGGAGGAACACCGGUGGCGAAGGCGGCAUCCUGGACCGGCAUUGACGCUGAGGCGCGAAAGCCAGGGGAGCAAACGGG